CACUAAUCACCACUAUUAGCAGUAAAAUAAAGAGAAGGGAAAGGUAUUGAACCUAAUUUUCUUCCGAUUAAAUUUGUGUAUAAGCAUACAAAGAAGGCCCGGGAACCAAACUCGGCCCUUAAACUUGAAACAACAUCUAAAUCGACAGGAACCUCAAAAAUGAACACGGACAGAAACCUGAAUUGGCACCGAAAAACUGAAAACCCAAAACGAUCUCAAACAAACUCCAUUUCUGAAAACUAAAAUUGAAAUCGGAAGGACAGAAUCAGAAACAAAUCUAUAUUUUUUUGUAUUUUCUGAGAUUUAAACUAAACAAAAAAAGUAAGAUUGAAAAUGAAAAAAAAAAACCCACCUUUUUGAAACCCUAGUUUUUUAUCUCCCAAUUCUCUAUCCGAAUCCCAAUUUUUGUGUCCAGAAACCUCUCCCAAAAUCUUAAAAAAGUAAGAUUGAAAAUGAAAAGAAAACCCACCUUUUUGAAACCCUAGUUUUCUAUCUCCCAAUUCUCUAUCCGAAUCCCAAUUUUUGUGUCCAGAAACCUCUCCCAAAAUCUUAAAAUAAGACAAUAUUUAGAGGGUCUCAAACUCUCUUCUCCUUCCUCCUCAAAAAUCCGAAAAUCAUCCACUACCAAGUAGGUGUGUGGUUGAAUACAAGGUAGGGUGUGGCUGCUAAGGUUUGUAUAGGUUAGGGCUUUGGGAAAAUAAUUUUUAUGGGGUGUGAGAAGGAAUAAUAGUCAUUAUUAG
rnacentral:lncRNA from 1 species